AGAGUUUGAUCAUGGCUCAGGAUGAACGCUAGCUACAGGCUUAACACAUGCAAGUCGAGGGGAAACGACAUCGAAAGCUUGCUUUUGAUGGGCGUCGACCGGCGCACGGGUGAGUAACGCGUAUCCAACCUGCCCACCACUUGGGGAUAACCUUGCGAAAGUAAGACUAAUACCCAAUGACGUCUCUAGAAGACAUCUGAAAGAGAUUAAAGAUUUAUCGGUAGAUGGAUGGGGAUGCGUCUGAUUAGCUUGUUGGCGGGGUAACGGCCACCAAGGCGACGAUCAGUAGGGGUUCUGAGAGGAAGGUCCCCCAGAUUGGAACCUGAGACACGGUCCAAACGUCCUACGGGAGGCA
rnacentral:rRNA from 1 species